rnacentral:rRNA from 1 species
CUGCAUGGCUGUCGUCAGCUCGUGUCGUGAGAUGUUGGGUUAAGUCCCGCAACGAGCGCAACCCUUGUCACUAGUUACCAGCGGGUCAUGCCGGGCACUCUAGUGAGACUGCCGGUGCCAAACCGGAGGAAGUGGGGACGACGUCAAGUCAUCAUGGUCCUUACGUCUAGGGCUACACACGUGCUACAAUGGGCGGGACAGCGGGUUGCGAAGCCGCAAGGUGGAGCCAAUCCCCCAAACCCGCCCUCAGUUCGGAUUGUCGUCUGCAACUCGACGGCAUGAAGCUGGAAUCGCUAGUAAUCGCGGAUCAGCUACGCCGCGGUGAAUACGUUCCCGGGCCUU